rnacentral:rRNA from 1 species
AUUGAACGCUGGCGGCAUGCCUUACACAUGCAAGUCGAACGGUAACGGGCCUUCGGGUGCCGACGAGUGGCGAACGGGUGCGUAAUACAUCGGAACGUGCCCGAUCGUGGGGGGUAACGAGGCGAAAGCUUUGCUAAUACCGCAUACGAUCUACGGAUGAAAGCAGGGGACCGCAAGGCCUUGCGCAGACGGAGCGGCCGCUGGCAGAUUAGGUAGUUGGUGAGAUAAAAGCUUACCAAGCCAACGAUCUGUAGCUGAUCUGAGAGGAUGAUCGGCCACACUGGAACUGAGACACGGCCCAGGCUCCUACGGGAGGCAGCAGUCGGGAAUCUUCAGCCAUGGGCGACAGCCUGACGGAGCAACGCCGCGUAAGUGAUGAAGGUCUUCGGAUCGUAAAACUCUGUUAUUAGGGAAGAACAAAUGUGUCAGUAACUGUGCACAUCUUGACGGUACCUAAUCAGAAAGCCCCGGCUAACUACGUG